GACAGAGGUGCCAAGCGUUAGGCGGAAUCACUGGGCUUAAAGCGUGUGUAGGCGGAUUUGUAAGUACCUUGUGAAAUCCCACGGCUCAACCGUGGAACUGCUCGGUAUACUGCUUAUCUUGAGCCACUUAGGGGCUACCGGAACAAAUGGUGGAGCGGUGAAAUGCGUAGAUAUCAUUUGGAACGCCAAUGGUGAAAACAGGUAGCUGGGAGUGUGCUGGCGCUGAGACACGAAAGCCAGGGGAGCGAACGGG
rnacentral:rRNA from 1 species